rnacentral:rRNA from 1 species
UAAGCGUGCGCAGGCGGUUAUAUAAGACAGAUGUGAAAUCCCCGGGCUCAACCUGGGAACUGCAUUUGUGACUGUAUAGCUGGAGUGCGGCAGAGGGGGAUGGAAUUCCGCGUGUAGCAGUGAAAUGCGUAGAUAUGCGGAGGAACACCGAUGGCGAAGGCAAUCCCCUGGGCCUGCACUGACGCUCAUGCACGAAAGCGUGGGGAGCAAACAGGAUUAGAUACCCCGGU